rnacentral:rRNA from 1 species
UACGUAGGGGGCUAGCGUUGUCCGGAAUCAUUGGGCGUAAAGCGCGUGUAGGCGGUCCGGUAAGUCCGCUGUGAAAGUCGGGGGCUCAACCCUCGGAUGCCGGUGGAUACUGUCGGGCUUGAGUACGGAAGAGGCGAGUGGAAUUCCCGGUGUAGUGGUGAAAUGCGUAGAUAUCGGGAGGAACACCAGUGGCGAAGGCGACUACCUGGCCUGUUCUUGACGCUGAGGCGCGAAAGCUAGGGGAGCAAACGGG